CCCAUCUAGCAGAAACUCAACUUUUCUUUUCCUGUGAUUUUUCACGAUUUCCUCUGAUUUUCCACUAUCAAAAACCAAAAGUCAAAAACAUACAACGCUUCAAAAACAACGGUUUCUUUUCCAACAGAUUCUUUACUUUCUCUGUUCCCCUCUUCUCUUCUUUCUCUGUAUUCAUCCUCUUUAUCUUUCUAUUUUCCUAUUAUCCUCUUUGCUUCACCUUUAUUGAUUUACUUUAAUUCCUUUGCUAAUCUCUAAAUUCUUUCCUCAACGCCGUUUCCAAUUGCUUUUUCUGGUUACUUUCGCUUUGAUUCUUCAUUCUGCUCCGUUUUUCACUUACUCCUUUGCCAGCGCAGAACAAGUGGAUAACAAUUGCUUAUUUUGACGCCCAUGAAGUGUUCGAAAAUAUGCCCCAUAGUUGACCUUGCCCACGGAUUCAAGAUUGCUGCAAAUUUACUCAGCACUUGCCGGUUGAUAGAUGGUAGUGCAAACUAACAAAAGGCCGUCAAGAGAUUCAAUUUUACCUUCUCCAUUCGUAUUUGAGGUACCUGGCACGUGAUGUUGCUGCUCUUUAAGAUGCUGCCAUUCAGUUUAUUCAGUAGAGCAGAGAUGAGCAACUACGUCAACGUUGAAUUUCUCUUUGGAUCAGUUUGUGUUUCCUCAACUCUCAGUAUUUUUUUGUUUCCACAUUAUUACCUCCACUUUAUAGUUGUAAAAAAGUAAAUUGUCCAAUUAAGCUUUCAAAUAAAUUAUAGUAAAUAUUUAUGCUGAAAUGCAAAUUUGGUUCCUUACUUCUUUGACGAGAACCAAAAUAAAUAUGUUAGGAAUUAUGUUAA